AAAAAUUGCGUUACUUAACUAUAAAUAAGAAAUGCAAGUUUUAUUUUAAAACUCAAGUUUUUUUCUACAAAAACUCAAAUAGUUUCCUAUAAAAACCUACGUAAUUCUUUGACAAAACUUAAUCUUAAUUUAGUUUUUGAAAAUACAAAUAAAAAAUAAAAAUUCAUUUUUAAUUGUAAUACAAAAUUAUUGCCCGGGGCCCAAAAUCAUUUACACAGCCCAAAUUAAAUACAAUCAAACCCAAUAAAACUUGGGCCAAUCCCAACCCAAUUACAAGGCCCAAUUGGCCUGAAGUCACAGAAACCCUAAGCAGCAGAUCGCCGCAGCUGCUCCCGCACGUCGCGCACGUCGCCCUUGCACGUCACACACGUUGUCCCGCGCUCCAGCACGUUCUUCCUGCAGCAGACAACAAACCUCGGCCACGAACAAUAGUAGAAAAAUACAAUGAAAAUGUAAAAAGGGAGGACAGUUUUUAGAGAAUGGCUUUUUUCUAUUUUUUCGGCUAUAUAAAGCCAAUUGUUUUUUUGUAAAAAGGUGACAUUUUUUUAUAUCUAGAAAACGAUUGAAAAGAAAUAAAAAGCAAAGGAUCGAAGGGGGAUUUUUGGGGAAGGUGAUUAACUUUUCUUUGUUUUGUUUUUUCGUUGCAUCUUACCACUUUUCUUGUUUUUUGUCUUCUCUUCUUUCUUUCUUCCACACGAAACAAAUAGAAAAGAAGAGGAAGAACCAUACCUGGAGGGCGUGCUUGCGAAGUUCUUCCUCGUUCUGUGCAGAGAGCAGAAUGAAGGAGUAGAAGGGGUUUAGGGAGAAGCGGCGCACGCAAGAAGAGAAUAGCUUAGGGUUUUUUUUUAAGUUUUAGAUGGCUUUUAUGCAGCAUAUAAAACAGCGUCGUAUAAGUAACCCGAAAACCGUGUGACCCGACCCAAAACCCGAUCAGAUCCGCGUGUUUUAGGCACUAAUGGGUUAUUUAUUC
rnacentral:lncRNA from 1 species